AUUAAGAUAAGAAGAGAUAAACACAACCGAAAAAAAAUAGAGAGGGGGAGGCUGGUAGAAAGGAAAGGAAAAAAUAGAGUAAAAUUGGGGACACUUAAGAUAAGAUUUACAGAAAAUUUAAUAAAGUAACACUGAUUAUAAGAUAUACGAUUAGCACAUAGGGUUUUGUGAAUCAAACUAAGGGAAGAACAAGGAAGAAAGAGAAAAGAAAGGAAAAGAAAAGAUAAAAAGAGAAUUCAUUUUGUGUGUGUGAUUAUUAAGUGGCAUCACCUCAUUCCGGACACACCUACUUAGUGUCUAAAAUUAAAGACACAGUAAAGACUGAUUCUCAAGUGGAGAAUUUACAGUCUUUUGUGCUACAAGUUUUUAAAUAUAUGUUUUUUUUUGGUAUAUGUAUGUUUUUGCAACAAUGAGGGAAGAUAUUAGAGAUUAUGAGGUAGAGAAGGAUGCAAAAAGUUCCUGCUUAUCUCACAUGCUUCUGAUAAAGACAAAAAAAAAUGUGGAGUAGCUAUAGUAUUUGGAGAAAAAAUUAAGGUAGAAAUUAUUCAUCAAGUACAGGAUGUUAAAGGUAGAUUUAUGGUCAUAAUAUGUAAAAUUAACUCCAUUUUAUUAACACUCUGUAAUGUGUGUCUUCCAAAUUAUUCACCAGUCUCUUACCUAAGAACGGUAUUAGAAAAAAUAGAAGAAAUUAAAGUGGGAAAUUUAAUACUGGCUGGAGACUUUAAUGCAGUUUUAGAUCCACAAAUAGACAAAAAAUUAAUGAAAGGAAAUAAAUUAAAUCAAAUAGUGGUGAAACAAGCUAAAGCUUUAAAGAAAAUCAAAGACAAAUUCAAUUUGUUACAUAUUUGGAUAAUUCAUAACCCCAGCAAAAUGGACUAUACGCAUUUCUCUAAAGUCCAUUACUCUUACUCAAGAUUGGACAUGAUCUGGACAGAUCCAAGUCUUAUUGAUAUGAUUAAAAAAAUAGAUAUUAAUGAAAUAGUGUGGACGGAUCAUAAUGGAGUCUCGUGUGAAAUAGGUGUCUGUAAACUUGAGAGGGAAGCAUAAAACUGGCGUUUAAAUGAUACUUUGCUUGGUUCCGAAUUAAAUAAAACCUAUAUAAAAAAAUAAUAUAAAAAAUUAUUUUCAAGAAAAUAAUAUAGAAAUUAUUGACCCAGCCUUUAAGGCUGUAAUAAGAGGUCAUUUUAUCAAGCUCCAAAGCCAGGUCAAUAAAAAGAC